GUAGGUGGCAAGCGUUGUCCGGAAUUAUUGGGCGUAAAGCGCGCGCAGGUGGUUCUUUAAGUCUGAUGUGAAAGCCCCCGGCUCAACCGGGGAGGGUCAUUGGAAACUGGGGAACUUGAGUGCAGGAGAGGAAAGUGGAAUUCCACGUGUAGCGGUGAAAUGCGUAGAUAUGUGGAGGAACACCAGUGGCGAAGGCGACUUUCUGGCCUGUAACUGACACUGAGGCGCGAAAGCGUGGGGAGCAAACAGGGAUUAGAUACCCUGGUAGUCCACGCCGUAAACGAUGAGUGCUAAGUGUUGGGGGGGUUUCCCGCCCCUCAGUGCUGCAGCUAACGCAUUAAGCAAUCCGCCUGGGGAUACGGUCGCAAGACUG
rnacentral:rRNA from 1 species